GUGGCAUUUACACAUUCACAUGUUGUUGUGCAGCCAUCACUUUCUAUCUGUUCCUGAAACCUCUCGUUUGACCCCAAACAGAAACUAACCAUGAGGCAGUGACUCCCCUUCACCUCCUCCUGCUCCUGGUCACCUCCAAUCAACUUCUGUUUCGAUGAACUUGCCAAAUCAGACUUUCAUUCAUUCAAGAUCCUGUGUUGAACACCUGGAAGUGCUGGGAUGAAGUGAUGGCAGGACAUCUGCCCACAGGGCGUGAGCAUGUGCCAUCGGACUGAGGAGGAGACACAGAGAGAAUGGGUUUUGAAGGGGAGCUGGUGGAGUUCCUGAAAGUGACAUAAAAACUUGGUGAAGGAUCCAGACAACGAUCCACAGUUGUAAGGCUGAUGGAGCUCGAAGGGAAUUCAGGGGACCCUCAGUUGCUACUUCCUGGCUUUAAAUGGAGACGUGCCCACAGCGAGGAAUUGUGGAUGUGAAGAUUCAAGGAUGUAAGAACAUAUUAACCAAGUGAGGUCACGAGUGCUUUACCAGAAUCCACGUACUUCAGGUGAAAAGAAAGGUGUGGGUGGUAGGAGAGAAGCCCCUGGAACCUUCCUCUUGGAUCACUUGGCUGCUGCAGGGGCUGCUGCUCUGCUCUCGGGAUGGGUGCUGUUUGUCCCAGGGGUGUGUAAGUUGGGGCAGCUUGGUGCAAAUCCACCUCCCCUGUUAUGAAAAUAACCCAGUGUGUCUCCCUGGGGUGUCACCUAGUGCUUGACACACAGCAUACAAGCAAGAGGCAGGUCUUAGAAGGCACUAAUUCUAGAGCCCUGAGAGCCCCUCUGAUUUAAACCUUCUCAUCUGAUCAGUCCUCAGAACGGGGACAGACCACGACAGCACCUGACAUCAAGCUUGAUUUUCCAGGAUCAAACUGUAUUCUGGAAAAGAUGGACACCAAGAGCUGCCAUUCAAACACUCCUAGAAGAAAUGGAAGGAACCAUAGGAAAAGUAAAAUAGGCAAAGAAUACAUUGAUGCUGGAAGUAGAGAGGCUUUAACCAUGAGCUGUAAACCUCAGCACCCACUGGCCGAGGGAAGACGGACUGGCCUGGGAGACACACCAAGGCUGUCAUGAUGCACAGGUGCCCUUCUGAGAGGGCAGGUCUGAGCCGGCUGACUGUAGUGCUGAUCCUGGCACAUCACCAGCAGUGAAGCCACCUGGAAGGGCAGGCUGGAGUCCUGCCCCCACUCUACAGGAGUACUUUCGUAGUCUGUGUUCUCCCCACCACCAUUUUUUUUCUGCUAUACAGGGCAACCAAAGGGAAGAGGGCAGGGUUUUUUUUCUCUGAUCUACCCUUUACUGAUUUGGGGUCACCACAACAUGGAUGAAUUCUUUCCUGAAUAGAACUGCCCUAAUUCAGAAGAAAGGGUCCCAUGUGAGGAGGGAUCAGGAGAGCAGGCACUGUUGCAUCUGGGGUGCCCUUUGCUCUGGGCCUGGAGCUGUGCCAUGUAGCAGGUGCCCCAAAUGGACCCC